rnacentral:lncRNA from 1 species
GUCUGGGAUUAACGUUUGAGUCAGUGGACUGCGAGAGGCAGACCCACCCUUAAUCUGGGUGGACUGCCAGCGAGGAUAGAAAAAGCAGGCAGAAGGUGGAAUUAGUAGACUUGCUGAGUCUUCCGGCCUUCAUCUUUCUCCUGCGCUGGAUGCUUCCUGCCUAGGAACAUCAGACGCCAAGUUCUUCAGCUUUUGGACUCUUGGACUUCAUACUACUGGUUUGCAGGGGCUCUCAGGCUUUGGCCACAGACUGAACAAGCUGUACUGUUGGCUUCUCUACUUUUGAGUUUUGAGACUCGGACUGAUCCACUACUGGCUUCCUGGCUUCCGAACUUGCAGAUGGCCUUUUGUGAGAUUUUACCUUGUGAUCAUGUACUUUGGAAAGAUCACAUGAACACAUAGCAAGAGAUCGGCCAUUUGUAAGACUAGAAGAGAUCUUUCCCCAGAACUGGGCCAUGCUGGCGCUCUGAUCUUGGACUGCCCAGCCCUCAGAACUGGAAGAAAAUAAAUUUCUGCUAUUCAAGCCACCAAGUUUGUGUUAUUUUGUCAAAGCCACCUAAAC